rnacentral:rRNA from 1 species
UCACGAGGUAGCAAUACUUUGGUGGCGACCGGCGCACGGGUGCGUAACGCGUAUGUAACCUACCUAUAACAGGGGCAUAACACUGAGAAAUUGGUACUAAUUCCCCAUAAUAUUCGGAGAGGCAUCUCUCCGGGUUGAAAACUCCGGUGGUUAUAGAUGGACAUGCGUUGUAUUAGCUAGUUGGUGAGGUAACGGCUCACCAAGGCAACGAUACAUAGGGGGACUGAGAGGUUAACCCCCCACACUGGUACUGAGACACGGACCAGACUCCUACGGGAGGCAGCAGUGAGGAAUAUUGGUCAAUGGACGCAAGUCUGAACCAGCCAUGCCGCGUGCAGGAAGACGGCUCUAUGAGUUGUAAACUGCUUUUGUACGAGGGUAAACUCACCUACGUGUAGGUGACUGAAAGUAUCGUACGAAUAAGGAUCGGCUAACUCCGUGCCAGCAGCCGCGGUAAUACGGAGGAUUCAAGCGUUAUCCGGAUUUACUGGGUUUAAAGGGUGCGUAGGCGGUUUGAUAAGUUAGAGGUGAAAUCCCGGGGCUUAACUCCGGAACUGCCUCUAAUACUGUUAGACUAGAGAGUAGUUGCGGUAGGCGGAAUGUAUGGUGUAGCGGUGAAAUGCUUAGAGAUCAUACAGAACACCGAUUGC